CUCUCAGGGCUGGAGGAGGUAACAUCUUUGCCUCUCUCUCUCUGUCUGAGGGAAAGACCUGAAGGAGCUCAGUUUUCUGUUUCCAACUUGGGAAACACUAUUGACUAUCUAUUGUAGUUUUUAUAAAUUUUUGAACUCUGAGAAGACCAAAGAAAAACCUGGUGUUUGGUGUAGAUUCUGAAUCUGUUAAGACUCAGAGUCCUAACUGGAUUCUUGUUGAGACUCAACCAGCUAGCGUUUGCUAUUUUAUAAUUUUAAGGCAAAGGUAUAUCCUCAGUACUAAGAAAAGUCAAUGAGUACUUGAUUGAGUCUCCUUAUUCCUGAAAUCAUAAUAAUGGGCUUCUGACCAUGAAGAUUUAGAAACUCACAAAGACCGUCUACUGAGAGAGAGGGGGCUGCCAUCUAUGUGGGGGAAAUACCCACGCAAUGAAAUUACAGAAAUAGUAAAGUAAGAAUAUAUUAAUAUAUCUGUGUAAUAUUUGUUUUUAUUAUAUUUUAUUGAUAUCAUUUUUAAUAAUUUUUCUGAUGUUUUGUGAUCCAUAUCCUCUCUCUUCUACCCAUUCUCCCAAGACAACAGAUAAUAUGACAUAGGUUAUAUUAUUUAUAUAAACAUAUAUUUCAAUAUUCAUCAUGUUGUAAAAGAAAGAAUAUAUCAAUUACACUAUAGAAAAAUUCAUGGAGGAAAUGAAAUGAAGAAUGAUAUGCUUCCAUCUUUAUUAAGACUCCAACAGUUCCUUUUAUGGCAGGGGAUAAACUUUUUUGUUAUUAGUCCCUUAGAUAUUUCCUGGAUCCUUGCAUUGCUGACAAUAUUUUAGUCAUUCACAGCUGAUUAUUGUGUAUUAUUCUUGUUACUGUGUACAACAUGUUCCUGGUUCUGGUUGGAACUUCAUUUUGCAUAAUGUAAUAGAAAUCUUUCCAGGUUUGGGGGGGAUUGACUUGUUUGUCAUUUCUUGUGGCACAAUUGUGUUCUAUUCCAAUUAUAUGCCAUACCUUGUUCAUCCAUUCUCCAAUUGAUGAACAGCUCUUUGCCACUACAAAGAGAGCUGCUAAAAAUGAUAUUUUGUACAAGUUAAUUCUUUUCCUCAAUGUUUGAUCUCUUUGAGAUACAGACCUAGUAGUGUAGUGGUAUUGCUAGGUUAAAGAAUAUGUAUAAUUGUAAGAUCUUUGGGGCAAAGUUCCAAUUUGCUCUUGAGAAUGGUUCUAUCAUUUCACAGCUCCACCAACAGUGUAUUAAUCUAAGUUUUACCACAUCUCCUCCAACAUUUUUUUUAUUUUUUGCCUUAUUUGCUCACCAGAUAGAUGAGUUGGUUGCUCAGAGUUAUUUUAAUUUAUAUUUCUCUAAUUAAUAUUGAUUUGGAGCACUUUUCAUAUGACUUAAAAUAGUUUUAAUUUUUUUCAUCUGAUAAGUGCCUAUUCAUAUCCUUUGAUCAUUUAUCAAAUGGGUGAACAUGAUGGAUCCUGAUAAAUUUGACGCAAUUCUCUAUAUAUUUCAGAAUGAGGUCUUUUCCAGAAAUACUAUAAAACUUUUUUUCCCAAUUUUUUGCUUCUCUUUUAAUCUUGGUUGCAUUGGUUUUGUUUGUACUAAACAAAUUUAAUGUUUUCAGUGUCAUCUAUUUAAAUCUCUAGUGUUCUCUAUGUCUUGUUUGGACACAAAUUCUUCCUUUAGCUAUAGAUAUGAUAAGCAAACUAUUCCAUGCUCCCCCUAUUUUAUGGAAUCACUUUUUAAUUUUUAAACCAUUUUGUAUCCAUUUUGACUUUAAUUUGGUAUAUGGUGAGUUCUUGGUCUGUUCCUAGUUUCUCUCAUACUGCUUCCAAGCUCUCCAAGAAGUUUCAAAUUGUGACUUCUUCCAUAACCUUGCAUCUUUGGGUUUGUCAGACACUACUAUGGUCAUUUAUUGCUAUGUGUUGAGUAUCUAAUCUGUUCCUUUGAUCCAUUAUUCUAUUUCUUAUGCAGUACAAAAUUGUUUUGACAAUUGUUGCCUAUUAAUACAGUUUGAGAUCUGAUACAGGUAAGGCAUCUUCCUUCAUAUUUUAAAAAAUUAAUGCCCUUGAUAUGAAAUGUCUUUUCUUCUUCUAGAUGAAUUUUAUCUUCAUUUUUUUCUAGCUUUCUGGAGUAAUUUUUGUGUAGUUUGAUUGGUAUGGCAUGGAAUGAGUAAAUUAAUUUAGAUAGAAUCAUCAUUAUUAUUAUAUGUGGAUAGUACUUGUGACUACCUAGGGAAUGUUAAUCUGAAUAUACAUUUUAAAGUAUAUUUAUGAUAAACUCAUGCCCAUUUUAUUUUUUAUUAUUUUUUUAUUUUUUUCAUGGUUACAUGAUUAUUGAUGACUCCCUCUCCUCUUCCCUUUCUCCUCCCAGAGUUGAAAAGCAAUUCCACUGGGUUACACAUAUAUUAUCACUCAAAACCCAUUUUAAUAUUAUUCAUUUUUAUAAUAUAGUAAUCUUCUAAACCAAAAUCCCAAAUCAUACACCCAUGAAAAACAACUGAUAAAUCAUAUAUUUUCCUCUGGAUUGCUACUCCCACAUUUCUUUUUCUAAAUGUGGAUAGCCUUCUUUUUUAUUUUUAUUUAGAAUAUUUUUACAUGGUUACAUGAUUUAUAAUCCCACCUACCCUACUCUCUUCUCCCCCACUCCUAAAGCUGACAAGCAGUUGCAUGGGGUUAUGCAUGUAUCAAUGUUCAAAAUAUAUUUCUGUGUUAUUUAUAUUUGCAGUAGAGUGAUCUUUUGACAUCAAAACCUACAUAUACCUAUUGCACCACAUGAUCAAGCAUAUAUUUUUCUAAUGCAUUUCUGGUUCCAUAGUUCUUUCUCUGGAUGUGGAUAGCAUUCUUUCUUACAAGUUUCUCUGGAUUGUCCUGGUUCAUUUCAUGGCUACUAGUAAAAAAGUCUAUUAUAUUCGAUUGUGCCAUAAUAUAUCAAUCUCUGUGUACAAUGUUCUUCUGGUUCUGCUCCUUUUGCUCUGCAUCAAUUCCUAGAGGUCAUUCCAGUUCACAUGGAAUUCCUCCAUUCCUUUAUUCCUUUGUGAGAUUUAAAAUGGUUGAGGUCUUAAACUGUAGUGAUUAAAAUAGUGGAAGAUAUAAAUUGUGAUAGAUAUAAGAGAGGGUGAGUAAAUUUGACCGCAGAAAUAUGUUUCACUACAGUGUCUUGGGUUUUUAAAUCAAAUAUAAGGUGGUCACCAGGGAAAUAUUCCCAAUUAUUCAAAUACCCAAGUCAAUUGGGUUUUAUAGAGAUUUUAAUUAACAAUACGAGAAAUUAAAGAAAGAGAGAGAGAGUAAGAAAGGAAUAAGUAUGAAGGGCCUCAAGCCAAUAUGGCCUAGACCUGAGUCUUAAAAGAGGAAUCAGUCAGUUUUUUAUAACUCACCAUAAGAUCUGUCUAACUAAGAAUUUCUAAUGACACCAUGCCAGCAGCAUCUCAGCUGCUUUCACCAGCUCCCUCCUCCAUCUGAAUGUUUCAGAAUCAGUCUCCUCAGAAUGAGUCUCUCCAAUCUGAAUGUUUCAGAAUGACUUCCCAGCUCUUCCCUGAGCUCUUAUUUUUAAGGGCAAAAUCUCCUAUGUCACCUCCCCUAUGUCCUUACAUCUACCAAUCACUGUAGAUGUUUCUAAAGGACCCCCCAUUUUGAAUUCACAGCCGAGUAGUUUUAAUCUCUUUAAUAAGUCAGGAAAAAAAUGCUGCUGUGUCGACAAAUUUCAUUAGAAAAAACCUCUGAAUAAGUUAUCACCCUUUUAGGUUUAAGUAGUUUACAAGUUGCCCCACCUUUAUAGGUACUUAGUAUCCCAUUGUAUCAAUUCUAAAACAGUCAUGACUCAAAGAACUUCCUGUCCCUUCCAUAAGCAUGGAUCAAAGUACUUUUCAUUGUUCUCAAGGAGCUCUCUGUCCUAAAGCAGUCCUAAGUAGGGUGGAGUAGGGAUAUUCCCAAGGCAAGGAGCCCCCACACUCAAGUAGAGUUCUCACCAUCUGCUAGGGAAUUUUUUAAAGUAGAAGAUUCCCCAAUGGGGGAAACCCCUAACAUUCAUAAGUCUGAGAAAUUUUGAGGUUUACAUUCAGCACAAUAAUAUUCUAUCACCAACAUAUACAAUUUGUUCAGCCAUUCCCCAAUUGAUGGACACUCCUUCAUUUUCCAUAUUUUUUUGCCACCACAAAGUGUGGAUAUAAAUAUUUUUGUAUAAGUCUUUUUUUCUUAUUAUCUCUUUGCAGUACAAACCCAGCAGUAGAAUGCCUAGGUCAAAGGGCAAGCAUUCAUGUAAAGCCCUUUGAGCAUAGUUCCAAAUUGCCCUCCAGAAUGAUUGGACCAAUCCACAACUUUACCAGCAGUGUAAUAGAAUCCCAAUUUUGCUACAUCCCCUUCAACAUUUAUCACUUUCCUUUGCUGUCAUAUUGGCCAAUCUACUAGGUGUGAGGGGUACCUCAGAGUUGGCUUAAUUUGCAUUUCUCUAAUCAGGAGGGAUUUAGAGCACUUUUUCAAGUGCUUAUUGAUAGUUUUGAUUUCCUCCUGUGAAAACUACCUAUUCAUGUCCCUUGACCAUUUGUCGAUUGGGGAAUGGCUUGAUUGUUUGGAAAUUUGACUUAGUUCCUUAUACAUUUAGGAAAUUAUAUCUUUGUCAGGGUAUUUUGUUAUAAAAAUGUUCUCCCAGUUUGUUGCUUUCCUUUUAAUUUUGGUGAUAACAGUCUCUCUCAUAAGUCCCUUAGAGUUGUCUUGCCUGGAUCAUUGCUUUGCUUUUAGUAGCAAAAUCAAUCACAUUUGAUCAUCCCACAAUGUUUCAGUUAUUGUGUAUAAUUGUUCUCCUGCUUCUACUUAUUUAACUCCAAAUCAGUUCAUGUAGGUCAUUCCAGUUUUUAAAGAAAUCCAUCGAUUCAUCAUUCCUCACAGCAUAAUAGUAUUCUAUUAUCAUCAUAUACCACAAUUUGUUCAGCCAUUCCCUAAUCAAAAGAUCUCUGCUCAUUUUCCAUUUUUUUUUUGCCACCACAAAAAGCACAGCUAUAAAUAUUUUUGUACAAAUAGAUCCUUUCCCAUUUUUAAAAUCUUAUUGGGAUACAAACCCAGCAGUGGUAUGGCUGGAUCAAAGGGCAUGCAUUGUUUUAAAGUCCGUUGGGCAUAAUUCCAAAUUGCCUUCCAGAAUGGUUGGAUCAAUUCACAACUCCACCAGCAAUGCCAUGCCUAUUUUAAAGGAUAAAUACAUGCAUACUAUGAACUGGAGACUUAAUAUGUUCAUGGGCAUCAAAGCUUUCAUUUUCCUCAUUUGUAAAAUGGACACAAUAAUAUUUACCCAACUUACUGUGAAUUUUAAAAUCUCCAUCUUGCUUGGUCUAGCACCCAAAAUUGUGCACACCCACACUACACAGGCAUGUGCUAGUCAAUGACAAAUCAGAAAAAACUAACUGCCCACCUGGGCUGUCCUAAGCCAAGCUUGAGCCACCAUUGGCACUUGUGAGGCACAGGAAGUGACGGAGAAAGUAGCCUCUGGAAUUCGCUCACUUCCUGUGGACAGGGCGAGAGGCCAGUUCGUGCUAGAAGCUUGAGCAAGGUGGAGGCCCACAGACAGCUUCCCUUCAGAUCGGUCACGUGAGUCAAGGACUGAUUCCUUCUCUAUCUUGGCCUUUUGGGCCUAAACUCCCUCUGGCUCCCUGCCAGAGGUUGAAUAACCCCUUUCCCUUUUCUCCUCUCUCCUUCUCUCUCUCUCCCUUCUCUUACUCCCAUUGUGAUUAAACCACCAUAAAUUCCAUUCUGACUUGAGUGUUUCAUUUUAGGAAUUUCAUAAGUAAAUUCCUUGGCGGCCUCAGUUUUAAUAUUAUAACAAUCUUCAAAGGUAAAAUUUUCACUAAAACAUUACCAAGACAUCAUGAGGAAAAUAUCUCACAAUCUGCGGAAUUGUUGAAUAUAAUUGCAGAUUAUUAUUUCUGGUGAGUUCUAUUUCCUCACCAGAUUAAAAAAAAAAAAAACUUCUCAAAAAUCCUAUAUUGGCCCUUUGGUGUUUGUAGUAUCCUUAAGAUACUACUUAAGAUACUUAAGAUACUGGAAUCAAAAGAUACAUCUGAAAGGUGGGACCUGAAGAGUCUCUGAAGAAAUAAGGACUUUUAGAAUCAAAUGGAUUUACUCUUCAUUUGCACCCUGAAUUUCUGAGUUGGCUUCAUCAGUAGCGAACUAGUUCACUUUCUCUUGUGGAAUCAUUGAGAGGUCUUGAGAAGACCCUGUACUAUCUCCUCCCUUUCACUAUUAGGGACUAACUUCCCUGAGUUUUGAAGGCUUUAGAUUUUGUGAGUGUCAAAUUAAGGUUAAAAUUAAUUAAUUAAUCUUGACAGUGGCAAAAAUUCAAGUUUUAUAACUACCACUUUAAUCAAAGCCACUGUGUAGACCUCCUGGGAAGAGAAGGAAAGAGGAGGAAGGGCAAAGGAACUGCCAAGAUAGUGCCCUACCGCUGCUUAAGUUAGUCAUCCUUAUAUUUCUUUCUGUGUUUCUUCUAUGAGACUUCUAUGAGGGAAAUGAAAUUAGGUGCAUACAUCUGAAAAUGAUUCCAUUUUUCCCAGCUGAGCUAUAAAAGUAAUUGUGAAUAAUAUUUGUCAAUAUUUACAAAAUGUUUGCCAUAUAACUAUGUAUUGAUUGCCUUCUGGUAGAGAAAAAAAUACUCCAGCUCAACUUUUGGCUAACCACUCUUCCACCUUGGCUUGUGAACCACUUCAAGCUAAGAGAAAUACUAAAGGCUCAAUGUCUAGGGAAGCAAUCUUCUCUAGGGGGAACCUUGGGGAAAAAUUGUGAUGAGCCAAGCACUUUCAUCAAUUACUUUAUCAUAGGGUUACUACCCCCAGUCACCCAUACCAGGUGAUUGAUCAGGUUAACUCUGCUUUCUCUGUCCACAACUAUGCUUCUCUUAUUGAGAUGUCUUUCUUUCCUGUAUCUUAUCCCCACAGGACCAAAAGUAUUAUUACAAUGGAAAAGAACACUGAUUAAAUCAGAUAAUCACAGAAUCUAGAUUCUAGUCCAUACCUUGCCACUAAGUACUAUGUUACCUUAUGCAAAAUAUGAGCUACAUAAUUUAAAUGAUCCUCAUAACUAUAUCAGUCAUAAAUACUCCAGAUUAUCCUCAUUUUAUAGAUAGGGAAAUUGACUUCAGAGAGGCUAAAUUAUGUGCCUGUGUUCAUUCCACAAUGAGUAUGUACUGAAGAUGGGGUUUGAACUGAAGAUUUUUCCUUACUGCAAGUCUAGAGCUCUUUCCAUUUGGCCCUUCCUGUCAAGGUCAUGUCAUUUUCCUUCUCUACACUUCAGAAAUUCAGGCCGUGGUCUUCAAGGGGAAACAUUAUUUUAGUAGAUUCUUUUUGAUAUCCCUCAAAAAUUUCAAAUAGGUCUCAUAUCAAGUCUAGUAUAGUAUUUUUAUAGAUUCUCACUACAGAACUUUUCUCUCAAAGGAGAAAACCUAUUAUAGAAAUCCUGAGAGAAAAAAAAUCUAUCUUCAAUGAAAUUCUGUGAAUAACUGUGUCAUCUAAGCUGUAGUUUAGAACAACUAAGCAUACCGAUCAGUAGCCACAGAUCAAUUGCUUUAGAAUAAGAUAAAAAAAAUGCCUAAAACCAAGCCUAGAAGAAAAAAAAACUGUCAACUUGUGAUUCAUAGAUAGUAUAUUCAAGUCUUCAAAAAUUAUGUCAUGUACAGUUUAAUUCAUUGUUAAAACAAAAUACCAACAACUAAGCCCUUAAAAAAAUGCGUUGAGCUGUAAUUCAUAGGAUAGCAGUACCUUCUUGUUGAAAUAUGUCAUGCUAAAUAAAGCAACGGUGAGAACCUUAGGGCAGAUAGAUUUUGCCUACCAAUUACAGAGUCACUGUAUUUACAAAUGGCAUGUUUAUUGGGAAAAAAUGAAUUGUAUUCUGAUUAAAUAUUUUACUAGAAGUUAUUACAUCCAGUGAAUUAUUUUGAAAAAGCAAAGCCACCUGGACAUUUUUUGUAACUUUGUAACUCCAAAUUUACGAAAGACAUAAUUACUUUCAAUACCAGUGAUGGCAAACCUAUGGAAUGGGUGCCAAAGAUGGCAUACAGAACUCUCUCUAUGGGCAUACAUGCUGCCCUUCCCCCCACCCCAACCCCCCAGAGUUCAUUACUAGAAAGGUAGAAGGCUUUGGGCAAAGCUGCUCCACUCCUGCUCUCCACCACACCUGAAGACAUUUUUUCACAUCAUACACCCUUCUGCCCAGUAGCCCAAAUGAGAACACUUUCUCUCUCCACUAUGUAAGGAAAGGGAGGGUUGAGGUUAAGGGGGGCCAUGAUGCUCAGUUGGGGUUGGGCAGCAGUUCAUCUCUAAAAGGUUUCCCUUCACUAUUCUAUUUCCUGAAUAGAGCAUUAGACUUAAGAGAAAAACUCAGAAACUCAAAAUCUGCCUCUCUCACAAAAAUAGUGGGGAUACUAACAAAAUAUCAAUCUAUAUAUAAGCUGUUCCUGGUAGUUAUAAGGAUAUUAGAAAAUAAGUAUUGUUUUUAUUAGUUUAGAGGUAAGAAGUAGAGUGGCUGGCUUGAGAAAGAAUUAGAGUUUGAAGCAGAGCUGAGAGAGGGUGUUAAUUUGAAUUGUUGAUAAUUAUAACCAUUUUUCUGUGUCAAUUACUCUCUGGCAGUUGGCAGAGACACAUACGCAGAGACUCUCAGGGAUGGAGGAGAUAACAUCUUUACCUCUCUCUCUCUCUCUCUGUCUGGGAGGAAAAGACCUGAGGGAAUUCAGUGUUUUCCUUUCCCAACUUGGGAAACACUAUUGAAUAUCUAUAGCAGUUUUUAUAGAUUGAUUUAACUCUGAGAAGACCAAAGAAAAACCUGGUCUUUGGUUUGGACUCUGAGUCUAUUAAGGCUCAGAGUCCUAACUGGAUUCUUAUUGAGACUCAACCAGCUAGCCUUUGCUAUUGUAUAAUUUGAAGGGAAAAUUAAGAAUUAUAAGGAUAAUAUCAAUUGUUUUUAUUUAGAUAGUAUAAAUUUGGGUUAGUCAGAUCAGGGAGGAUUAGUGUAGCCUGUGAAACACAAAAGAAGAGGUUCCUUGUGAAACCUGUGAGUUUAUUUGGGUGGAUUUAGAAUCCCUUAGAAUUAGAAAUCCUUUUUUAUCCUUAUAUAUUUCAAUAAACAUUUUAUUCUUUAUAAUAAGAGUCUCUUUAGUGUCCUUGCAGCUGGCCCUGAAGGGAAGUUCAAAUUUGAGCUUCACUUAAUAACUGAAAAUACUUUUGAUUAUCUCUCAAAAGUAUCUCAACAAUUUGAACCUGUAUUGACGAGUUUGCUAUCUAUAUUUAUAUAGCUCAUCAUUGUUUUUUUUUACAUAGUUUACAUCCCUAAAAUGAGAUCUCCUCAAAAGGAAAAUGAUACAUCACCAAACAACAAAAUAUAACAUCAAUUUUAGGUCACACUAAGCCAGAUUUGUGAGUAAAUGGGAACUAUAUCUAGACCAUCAUAGUUGCCCUGUCAAGUGGUUGGCAUUUGUGGAUAUAAUGAUGUAAAGUUACCUGUUAUUCAUUUUGUGAGUGGGAAUUGAAUAUUACACCAAUUAAAAUUAGAAACCUGACUAUAAAAAUUGAGCAGUUAUAGAACUUGGUAUCCCAGAAACAAAUCUAUCAUGGAUAAAUAAACAGAGGCUGCAUCUCCCUUUGAAUUUUACUACUUGUUAGAAAUCUUAGUUAUUAAUUUUGUUUUAUUUUUAGGAAAAGUACUUUAGUAUGGUAAAGCUUCCAUACCUGUUCUUUUCACUCUAGGAAAGGGCAGCACUAUAACAUGUAGUUUUUAUUUGUGCAAAUUAGCAUUAUUACAAGUAUAAUUUUGAAACACUUGUUAGAGGCUUUUAGGGGAAGAUUCACAUCUACAAUUUUUAAUAAUAAUAAUAAUUGAAAAAUAUUGAUCAGGAGGGAAUUGUGGAUAGAUGGUAGAAUAAAGUUGGAAAUUUCCUGGAUUUCCUAAUUCUACCCCAAAUAAUUCAGAAUAAAGCCACAAAGUCCAUUUGAGAGAGGCAAAAAUAAAGUCAGGGCAAACAGUGAUCAAUCUUACAGCAACUUACUUGGGAGGUUGUUAGAAAAUAUCUAACCUUUCAUAGUGUUGAUUCAGAGUGGAGUGAAGUACAGAUAAGUCUGGGCAGAUACCCCCUCUUCAAUAAAUAGCAAAUUUUACGGGCAGGUAUGUUGGGGGCAGCCUCAGAUUCAGGAACUUUUGCCUCACAAAUUAUGUCUUUCUCUAGAUACAGAGAAGGGGACAGCUAUAAGAUUCCUCAGAUGGUGAUGGACAAAAGGCCCAGGUCCAAUUAUAGACACUGUCCAGGGCUGCAUCACAGAGUAUGAGGAGUGAGAACACACUGCUUAAUACAUCUACAAAGGAGUAGAGACCUGCCAAUUGUGAUCAUUAACAGGAGAAAGGAGUCCCUGGUUUUAGUUCCAGAGCAGAGGAGCAAGCUAAAUCUUAAAGCUGCCUAAAGGACUACAGGGAGCAAGAGCAUUUGCAGUAUCAGUGGUGUUGGAGUCAUGGUUACAUUUCAGGAGAUGGAAAGAAAUACCAAGGGCCAUUCAGAGGUCUAGACAUGAGCCUGAGGAACAGAGACCAUGCCUCACUUUGAUGAUAGAAAACAAGAAUAAUCAAGAAAGUUAAAUACCCUCAAAUAGAGCUCAGAAAACAACAGCACAAAAAUCCUAAAACCUGAGACAUUGUUCCCUUUACACUGGGAGGGGCAGAGCCUGAACCUAACAUAAAGUUAACAGCCAAGAGAUACACAUUUUUAAGAGAAAAUUAGCUAACAACAGAGAAAAAUCCAGUGUAGAUAGCUACUAUGGUGAAAGAGAAGAUUGGAUAUUUAACUAAACAUUUUUUGAAACAUUGGUCAUUUAAUUAAGGACUAAUUAAUUUAUAAUUAAUUAAAGGACUUUGAGACAUUCUUGAGGAAAAGACAAAAACUGAACUGAAAAUUUGACUUAUAAGAAACAGGAGAAUCAUUAGAAGGUAAACAUUAAAGAAUAAUUAUAAGGGAUUUAAUGAGGUAGAACUUUUAUUUCUUUAAUGGGAAAAUUAUAUUUGUAACUCUUAAAAGUAUUACCAUUGUUAUGGUACAUAGAUAGUAUACAUAGAUAGAAAGUUUGGGGUUGAAUUGGUUAUAAUGGCAUGAGAGAUAAAAUGGAACAAAAUAUCUCAAAUUAAAGAAGUGUAAGGAGGGGAGAAUGGGGUGGAGGGCAGGUAGUAUGGGACUAUUUUUAGAAUUGGAAUAGAUAAUUUUAUAUAUAUGUGUGUGUGUGUGUAUGUGUGCAUGUGUGUGUAUGUGGAUGUAAAAAAAGUCUACUAAAUGUAUAAAGAAAUAAGAAAAUGGGAUAGGAUAAGGAGGAGAAUCUUGUAAGGUUAUGUUGUUAAGAAAUAGGAGGACAAGGAGAUAGGAUAAGGGAGGGACUCAGAAGGGUGUAUGGAAUAGGGAGGCAGUGAUCAGAAAUAAAUUAGACAUCUGAGAAGGUAUGAGGGAGAGAGAAGGAUAAAUAGGGAUGAAAAAUAGAAUAGAAAGGAAAACACAACUAGUAUUUAUAACUUUGAAUGUGAAUGGGGUGAAUUCACCCACAAAGUUUAAAAGGAUAGCAGUAUGAAUUUUAAAAAAUUAGAACCUCACAAUGUGUUCUUUAUAAGAAAGACAUUUCAAAAUGAGAAGUACACAUAAAAUAAAAAUAAGGGGUUGGAGUGGAGUUUAUUUUGCUCUAGCUGAUGUUUAAAAAAGGGUAGCAAUCAUGAUCUCAGACAAAGUUAAAAUUAAGCUAAAUUUAAUUAAGAGAUAAGCAGGGAAACUGUAUUGUGUUAAAAGGUAAUAUAAAUAAGGAAAGAAUAUCAAUUAAAACACACAUGAACCAAAAAAUCAAAAGAUGUCAUCCAGAUUUUUAGGAAGGAAAUUUAGGAAGGAAAAGCUAAAUGAAUCACAGGUGGAAGUAGAUAGCAAAACUGUAAUAAUGGAGGGACUUUAAGAUUCCCCUCUCAUAAACCAGAUAAAUCUAACCAGAAAUAUAAGCAAGAGGUCAAGAAGAUGAAUAAUAUCUUAGAAAAUCUAGGUAUGAUACAUAUAUGGAAAGCACUGAAUGGGAACAGAAAUUAAUAUACCUUUUUCUAAAGUGGUAUAUGGCACCUUUACAAAAAUAGAACAUACAUCUAUAUGUUCAUAAAUAUAUCUUUCCUUAAAGGAAGACAAGAUGUAGCUUACCUACUCCUAUGAAAUAAUGGAAGACUUCUACUUGUUCCUGUUAUUAUUCUUUUGUUUUAGCACUUGGAUAGGUCCUGUAGUUAAAAGCUUCAGAUACUGCUCAUCAUGAGUGGGAAAAUAUUUGUGGAGAGUCUGGAAAGGGAAGAGGACCAGAGAAAGAAAAGUUGGGAGAGCUCCUAGGUGUGUGCUACAUUAGUAUCCAAUCAAAGUCCAGGUCUAGAAAGUUUUCUAAAUCUUUUAUGUAGGAUUCAUAGAAGGACAAGGUCAAGUGUCAUGCCAAGCCAUGAAUUCCAAAAUAUUUAUAAGAUACUUUUUGACACUUUUGAACACUCUGACAUGUAUAAAAAUAUCAUUAUUUAAAUUGCAAAGUUUAAAUUCCUUUUGAGAAGAAUUUUAGGUAAAGAAGAUGCUACCUCUCUGAAUCCAGAACUGAACUGUUGGAGAAGCCACCAUGAAGAAGCCUCCAGACCACAAGUUGCACAAAAUUGAACUUUGGGUGUGGUUGAUUGAACAUUUUUUUGUAUCUGUACUUUCAUGCCAAAGGGGACUGCCCCCUAACUGGCUUUGUGUCAAUGCGUUCAGCAAUUAUUGGUUUUAUUCUUUUGUUUCUCUUAUCCUCAAAUUAUUGUAAUCUUUAAAUUGAUUAUGUUUUCAUGAUCCUUUGGAAAAAAAUUAAUUUUUUUCAAACGAUCAAAGGGGUGAAUGUAAAAAAUAGACUCGAAUACAGGACUACAAUCCCCACGAGCCUUUGCUCCACUUCCCCAGAAUGCCUUGUAAUCUCACCUGGGCCGAGAUCGAGAAGGUAUUUAAGCUGAUUCAAAGGCUUUUGAGCUCUUUUUUUCUCGCUUUUGGACUUCCGUUUCAGGGGCAGACCUGGCUUUUUUUCAUAAUGUAGGUGAGGUUGUGUCUAGGCCACUCUAUGGCCUGGACACGUGUUUCUAACCCUGUAUUUUCUUUAAUCCUUAAUCUUCAAUAAACCGCUAAAAAAAUAUAAUACUCCUUGUAGAGAGAAACUAAUUUCUACCUGCCUCAGUCUCCCCAUCUCCCCUAAAUUUUAAUCUUUACAGACAGCAAAGAACUAGAAACAAAGUAGUAACCAUUAAUUUGAGAAUGGUUAAAGAAAUUCUUGGUACAUGAUUGUAAUGAAAUACUACUAUGCUAUAAGAAGCUAUAAUCAUGAUGAAUAUAGGGAAAUGUGGGAAAAUGUACAAUGUACUGCUACUGUACAAAGUGAAGUAAGCAUAUACAAUGACUUGAAAAAUGUAAAUGGAAAGAACACCCACACAAAACAAUAAAAAAUUAAUGUUGCAAAAUUAUCAAGAAUAAAAUUGGCCACUUUCCAAACUUAUCCACAAAAUAUAAAAAAUAAUAAUAACUCUACAGAAUUAAUGCUAAAAGCUGCAAAAUUGGAAGAGUCAGGAGUGAAGCAGAAUAGCCAGGGACAACUAAGAAGAGGGGUCUUUGACAUUUCUGGCUUCUUCAUUGUCUGGUGGUACAAGCACCCUGGAGCAAACAAAGGAAUCAACAAGCUGCAAGCCUUAGAGGCAGGGUGGGCAGCCUUGCCUUUUCUGCUUAACCUAGGAGUCUAUAUCCCAAUGGCACAUACCAGCAAAGGCAACAUUCAAUGAGCCCUGGGAGCAGCUGUGUGGGCUGGUCUUGCCUCCAGAGGUGUCCACUCACUGACUGUCUCAGGUUUCAGCUUCAGGAUAAGAGGAGCAAAGAGGGAACACAAACUGGUGAGUGUGAUUGCUGAUGGGCUGGGACUCUGCUGGCUAUAGUCAUCCACAGGACAGGGAAGUCCAUGACUACUAUCCCAGAUCCAGCAAAAGCAUUGCUAGGUCUCUUUCCCAAGGAGAUCAGUGGAAAAGGAAAGUAAUUUAUAUGUUCAUAAAUAUUUAUAGCAUCUCUUUGUGUUGGCAAAAAACUGGAAAUCGAGGGGAUGUUCAUCAAUUGGGGAAUGAGGAAACACAUUGUGGUAUAUGAUUGUGAUGGAAUACUACUGUGCCAUAAGAAACAAUGAGAAGAUUAAUUUAAAAAAAAAAACUUGUAAUGAACUGCAUGAGAUAAUGAAGAGUGAAAUGAGUAGAACCAAGAGAAUAUUAUAUACAACUAAAUUUAAUAUUUGAAGAAUAACUUGUGAAUGUUCAUCUCCAAAGAAUGAGCCAAACACAAAAGAUAUAAUUUAUGUAGACACAUCUGUUUGCUGGAUGAUGCCUUCUAUGAUAUGGCAAGGGCUAGAAAGGCUGAGAUGCCUGGAAAUAAUUUCUAUCAAUUAAAAAAUUAAAAAGAAUACACUUGGCCCUAAAGAGCAAUGAGAAUAAACCUUAUCCUACUUCUUUGUACCAGUGUUGAAUGUUGAAUAUUGUCAACUGGGUUUUUUGGGAACUCCAAAUUUGCCCUUGACCCAUAAGAACUCACCCUGAGGGAAGUCUCAGACUUAUCCAUUUCAUACUGAACAAUAGACCUUAAAGUACUUAAUAGUCCAAGUUUAGGUGAAACUAGUAGAUUUAAUCAAAUGUUAAGUACCCUUUUGUACCAGUAGUUUCUCCUGUUAUAUCAAAGUCCCAUUGUAAAGCAUCAGCCUCUCCCUGAUGAUCCUGUCUUAGACUUCUCAUUUCCUUGGAGCCAUGAUAAUGCCAAAUCAAUCAUACUUCCCUGUCCUUAGUUCCCCAAUUGGUGUACUAUUGUUCUUCAGAGAAUCAUCUCACACAGGUAUAUUCUCCCAGAGAUACUGUCCCCAGAGGCCCAGGGUUUUGACUCUGUGUAGUACUUGGUGCUUGGCUCUGUGUAGUGUCAAUUAUUACGUACUUAUCUCUUUCCUGAUUAAAGAGUUGGUUUUUAUGACUAAGUUAGUAGUUCUGUGUUUUUCCAAGUUGACAAUAUAUUGUCAAGGUUUGUUGUUGUUGUUAUUGUUUAAUAUAUUGAUUACUUUUGGUGUUUUUUUUUUCUCUUUUUCUCUUUUUUUUUCUCCAAAAAAUUUUAUAUGGGAAGAAUCUAUGGGAGGGGGUAGAAAUACAGGUGAAAAUUUCAUCAGUGUAAAAAUAAGACAUCAAUAAAAUUUAUUUUAAAAUACUGUUAUAAAAGAAGUAUGAAUGGAUUUUUAUCUGUAUCAUUGGUAAGAAUACUUAUAUUGAUGAGAUCUCAAAGUCAUCUAAGCAUUCAUCAAAGCAGUGUAUGUAUGUAUGUAUGUAUUUCAAAGCCAUACAUUUACAUAUUACAUUAUUUUAAGGUUCAGUCCAUAUAUUACUCAAUUAGUGCACUCAGAAAGAAGUAUAUCAUGAAGAAGUAACAAUAGACUAAAUUCAACUUUUGUUCUAUAUGUCUUUUCUGGGCAUGGGUAUUCACUGUUUUUGGUGUACAGGGCCCUUUUGUAGGACAGGAAAUAAAAAAUGGGGGAAUAUUUAUCUAUGUGUAUGAGUAUGAGUGCAUACCCCAAUAUCCACAGGACAGCCAUGCUACAAGAAUUGUUCUGUAUCACCAGACACCUUUGAAAUAAGCAAGCAAAUGAUGAAAGCAGUAUCUAGGGACAGAUGUGUAUAGAGUUGUCAUGAUAUUCAAAAACAAUGUAUAUGAUUCUAUAUUUUUAAAGUCUGAACAUGUGAAGAAAUUACAUGAUUGUAACAGAAAUAAGUACUUUCAGGAAUAGCAACUAAACCAAGGAGUAUUGCUGUCCUUAAUAGGAUAGGUACAAAAAUGCACUAGAGAAUAGAAUGGAUUAACCAAUGCUUAUUGAACCUAAAAAAAGUCUAUUUGAGUGCACAAAAUUAAAGAUGGAAUAUAGUCUUGAUCUCCAAUAUUGUUUGAGGGCUUAAAAGAAAGUGUUAAAAAAAUUUAUAGUGAAUAUAUUAUCCACCAAUAUAAAUGCAUUAAGGUGGAAGAAACUUCCUGCCUUUAAGGUAUUAAAAGUAGAGUUGAUGAUAGCCCAGCAUUAUUCAUUACAUCAAAUGGAGAUGCCUUUAAAUUUAUAUUAAAUUCAAUUUAAAUGCCAUCAAAACCAUGGUUGACAAAGUACUGACAGAUGAAUAUUUUAGUAUGAUUCAAUAGCAGUAAACUUUAUUUUCUUACCUUGAGGCAAGGUGAUAGAUUUUUUAUAUGCAGUAGGGUUGCACAGAGUUUGUAGUAACAUAGCUUAUGAUUUUCAUAAAGUAAAAAUUUAUCUUUAAAAUGUUUUAAACCCACUUAUAAGUCUUGAGCUCUAAAAAAAUGUCUUCAGGGUUGUUUUGGUUUUGCUCAUUAGUUCACACCAUAAAACCUAAUAGCCCACUCAUAUCUUUCUAUGAAAUAUUUAACUUCAGAAUUAGCACACAAUAAUAAUAACAUGAAAGGAUUAAUUUAUCCUAUUAAUAUUCGAUGCUACACAAACUCAGUUUUUCCUUUUGAGCUAUUGGAUAUGAGAGAGAGAAGGAUAUAGCAGAGCACCUAUUUACUAAAGGAGAGGUUCUUAGCCCUUUAUUCCAGUCUGGUGAAGCCUAUGGACCCCUACUCAGAAUAAUGUUUUUAAAUAUGUGAAAUAAAAUACAUAGAAUUUCAAAGGAAGUCCAUUAUGUUGAAAUCAUUAUCAAAGUUUUUUUUUUCCUUAUGCAAGGUCAUAGAUCCCAGACUAAAAGCUCCUGUUUUGAAUGAAACCACUCUCCUAACUUUUUUUAAAAUUUUAUUUAAUUAAUUAAUUAAUUUAGAAUAUUUUUCCAUGGUUACAAGAUUCAUGUUCUUUCCCAACCCUCUCCCCACUCUAUUACUGUAGCUCACACGCAAUUCCAAUGGGUUUUACAUG